GAGAAAAAGUAGAAGUAUCCGCUUCUCACCUUAUAGCCAAGGCUCAUAAGGUUACAAUGAUAGACAAGGUAGUUUCUAGUUAAACUAUCUCAUUCUAUAGUGGGCUUUUAGCGGGUAUUUUAUACCCGCUUUUAUUUUUUAAA
rnacentral:sRNA from 1 species